CUACUCAACAAUUUAUUGUUGUGAAUAUUACAAAUAAGUAAGCUAACAUUUAGGCAUGAGUGAACUUUCUCAAUAUUUGCUUGAUAUUGCUACAUCAUUAACUUUUAAUUCAUAGUAAAUGAACUCCAAUAAAUGAGUAUCUGACAUGAUAUUUUUACCUCCAAAUAAGUCCAAACAAAAGAUCAAAGUUAUUUAAUAAUCUUCAUUGUUAAAAAUCACAAUGAAUUAAAUAACAUCCAUGCAUUGGUUGAAGACUCUGUCAGAAUAUUAAAACAUCUUUCCAAUGAUAUAUUUGAAUUUAUUUUCAAUAACAUAUGUGAUUCAUAUGUUGUUUGGUGAAUCAAAUGCUAGAAAUAGCCUGAGUCAACUAUGAGAUGUCCAAGAAUGUCUUUCCAUUUAUAAAGUUAGUUAUACCCAAUUUUGUGAUAUGGUAUUCAUUGUAUUUUCAAAUGCCACAAAAACUAGUAUAACAGAAGACAAGUGACAAAAUAUUAACCUAAUCCGGUUAUGGACCAGGACUGGGGAAACCUCAAGACAGAACAUGGCUAAAAGUGAAAAAUAUCAAAGACAGCAAUGCUUGCAUAUCUAAGUC
rnacentral:lncRNA from 1 species